GGCAUGUCUGCUGUGUUGCAUGUCUAGACUAACUCAUGGUUUUUUGUUUUUUUUUCCUGUGUACAUUGGAGAUAUACUAGAAAACCCUCAGAAUUGCUUUGUUACCUGAAUUAAUGAUAACUGUUCACUUUAUAUGAGGUUCAGUUUUAACUAAUUGAAGAUCUUUUGUUUACUGUGGUUGGACUUUAAACCUUUUUUGGUCCCAAUUUUAGCAAGGAAAUUUGUUUUUAAACUACUUAAAUUUUUUUGUUUUUUAGCUCUUUUUAAUUGAAGUACACAGUACAGAAAAGUAGACAACUUACAGGUGUAUGGUUUGAAAUACCACAAAGUGACCACAUAUAACCAGCACCAGCAUCAAGAAAGACAACGUUACUGCUUCUAGAGGCUGCCUGAUUUCCUUGGUUCCUGGCCCCCUGUCCAUCUUCAAAGGCAACAGCGUUGCAUCUUCUAGUCUCUGCUCCCAGCACACCGCUUCACCCUGACCCUGCUGCUUCUGCAUAUCAGGAUCCAUGGGAUUAAAUCUGGCCCACAGUGGUGAAGAAGAGGACUACAGAUUCAGUUUGCUUCCACUGCCUUGCCUUGUGCUAGAGGGCUCCUGGUUUUACUCCAGCUGCAGUGCAAACCAGUAUUCACCAGUGAAAAAUGCAAGUGACCUCUUGGGAGGAGGAGAAUAGUCUGACCUCACGGAAUCCCUGUGAAGUUCUCAGGACCUCCAAGGCUCCUCUGAUCACUCUGAGAGCUGCUGUUACAACUCAGUAGCCAAACUAGUCAUUUGAUGUUGCCCCAUGUUGCCUUAGAAUUUCAAGCCAGGUUUUGGUUCAGAAAUCUGAGUUGACAUCGUGUAGGAUGUGACUCUCCAAGCAUUUUUUAUUAAGGUACCACAUCUCAUUUAUCCAUUCACCUGUUGACGGAUCCUGAGGUUGCCUGCAUAUCUGGCAGUUGUAAGGACUGCUGCUCUGAACACUGGGGUGCAUGUGUCUUUCCAAAUGAGUGGUUUGGGUUUUUUGGAUACAUACCCAGGAGUGGAAUUGCUGGACAGCCACAUCUUUUGCCAUACUCCCAGAUACUUUCCUGCUCUUUAGCUGCCGGAGAUGCUCAGUAUUUUGAGAGCUUUAACCUUCAAGUAAAGUCUUAACCCAACUCUGGCUUGCAAGAGAUAAUUGAGCGUCUUAGCCACCACCUUCUUCGUAAUGGACUUUGUAAAGCCACAGCUGUGUUAAUGUGAAAGAACUGUGGGGCCCGUUCUGUGGAGAACCAUGGCAAGAGGCAGAAGAGCUGGGUCACUGCACUCACUCCGCAUGCCUCUCUGAGUCAUCUGUUCUUCUGUGGCCUUAGUCCCCCUCGGUGUGUUGAGGACAGCCUGCUUGGGAUUAGAGUUACGAUGGGGUAAACCAGACUGAGGAUGUGGGGGUACUUUUCUAAAC
ensembl:lncRNA